GAACUGCUAACGAGUCCCAAACAGGACGAAACAGCUGUCCAGUGC
rfam:Echinostoma caproni strain Egypt genome assembly, scaffold: ECPE_contig0002591